rnacentral:snoRNA from 1 species
AGUCCCAGAGCCUAUAAAGGUGAACCCACUGGGCCUGGCUGGGGGAAAGGAGGAAGCUUGCUCCAGAAGGAACUGAGGGA